rnacentral:misc_RNA from 1 species
GAAAUGCGAUACGCAAUGCGAAUUGCAGAAUUCCGCGAGUCAUCAGAUCUUUGAACGCAACUGGCGCUAGAGUCACCUCUAGCAUGUUUGUUUCAGUGUGUUCAGGACUCCCAAACGUGAAUGCGAUUGAUGCCUCACCCAUCUCUCGUUAAACUCGAACGACGCUGGGCUUUCCGGCGCCUCCGAAGUAGUCACUUUUCCAAAGUGAUCUCGGACGCUGCCUCGGAAUCCCGAAAAAGCGCGUUUCUCAAAACCCAAACCUACCCUCGACAGCACCUGAAAUCAAGCAAGACCACCCGCUGAACUUAA